GUGGCUGUGAAGGGUUCAAAAGGAGAGAGCUUCUUCUUCUUCAUCCACUCCUUGGACAGACAGAAGACACCUGCGUGACUGGCGGAGGAUCGACACUUUGAGCACAGAGAAAAUGAAAAAAAAAGAAAACGAGAAAGGUUGAGCAGUUGAGCCGUGAGGUUACAGGCUGGCAGACAUCAGAGGAUGGGGGUUGGCUGCGUACUCGGUGCAGCUGCAGGAGCGGAUACAGGUGCAGAAGAGAAAAGCGGGAGCGGACUGAAGACCAGAGAGGAGUUCUGGAUGUACAGUGCAGUCAUCCAUAAAGUAGAAAGCACUACUAAACUCCUCAUCACAGUGUAGUGUUUCCUACUUUAUGGAUGAGUGUACUGUUGGCUUCAGGGAGAUCCGAGGCCCGGCAUGGCGCCAUGCGCAGGAAGUCAGAAAAGAGGAAGUUGCUUUGUCUCGCGGGGCCACACGUUACCCAGAGUGUUGGAGCAAUCGGUUCACAUGGGCAGAGUGUGGCGCCGAGCAGAGUCAGCUCCUCUUUCUCCACUCUAUGAUCACCUGUUUGGAAAAAUGUGCGCAGUAAACUAUGUAUAAUCUGCAUGCUGUAAAAUAAUAAAGAUAAAGUGAAAGAAUA